UACGGAGGGGGCGAGCGUUGUCCGGAAUCAUUGGGCGUAAAGCGCGUGUAGGCGGUUCAGUAAGUCUGCUGUGAAAGUCCAGGGCUCAACCCUGGGAUGGCGGUGGAUACUGCUGAACUAGAGUGCGGAAGAGGCGAGUGGAAUUCCCGGUGUAGCGGUGAAAUGCGCAGAUAUCGGGAGGAACACCAAUUGCGAAGGCAGCUCGCUGGGCCGUUACUGACGCUGAGACGCGAAAGCGUGGGGAGCAAACAGG
rnacentral:rRNA from 1 species